GCGUGGGGGAAGAAGGCUCUUGGGUUGUAAACUCCUUUUCUCUGGGAAGAACAAUGUAACGGUAACAGAGGAAUCAGCAUCGGCUAACUCCGUGCCAGCAGCCGCGGUAAGACGGAGCGAUGCAAGCGUUAUCCGGAAUGAUUGGGCGUAAAGCGUCCGCAGGUGGCAGUUCAAGUCUGCUGUCAAAGACCGGGGCUUAACCUCGGAAAGGCAGUGGAAACUGAACAGCUAGAGUAUGGUAGGGGCAAAGGGAAUUCCUGGUGUAGCGGUGAAAUGCGUAGAGAUCAGGAAGAACAUCGGUGGCGAAGGCGCUUUGCUGGACCAUAACUGACACUCAGGGACGAAAGCUAGGGGAGCGAAUGGGAUUAGAUACCCCUGUAG
rnacentral:rRNA from 1 species